GGGAAUCUACCUAGUUCUACGGAACAACAGAGGGAAACUUCUGCUAAUACCGUAUACGCCCUAUGGGGGAAAGAUUUAUCGGAAUUAGAUGAGCCCGCGUAAGAUUAGCUAGUUGGUGAGGUAAUGGCUCACCAAGGCGACGAUCUUUAGCUGGUCUGAGAGGAUGAUCAGCCACACUGGGACUGAGACACGGCCCAGACUCCUACGGGAGGCAGCAGUGGGGAAUAUUGGACAAUGGGCGCAAGCCUGAUCCAGCCAUGCCGCGUGAGUGAUGAAGGCCUUAGGGUUGUAAAGCUCUUUCAGUGGGGAAGAUAAUGACGGUACCCACAGAAGAAGCCCCGGCUAACUUCGUGCCAGCAGCCGCGGUAAUACGAAGGGGGCUAGCGUUGUUCGGAUUUACUGGGCGUAAAGCGCACGUAGGCGGUUUGUUAAGUCAGGGGUGAAAUCCCAGAGCUCAACUCUGGAACUGCCUUUGAUACUGGCAAGCUCGAGUCCGGAAGAGGUAAGUGGAACUCCUAGU
rnacentral:rRNA from 1 species